CGUGACCUGCGGAGGUCAUUACCGAGUGAGGGCCCUCUGGGUCCAACCUCCCACCCGUGUCUAUCGUACCUUGUUGCUUCGGCGGGCCCGCCGUUUCGACGGCCGCCGGGGAGGCCCUGCGCCCCCGGGCCCGCGCCCGCCGAAGACCCCAACAUGAACGCUGUUCUGAAAGUAUGCAGUCUGAGUUGAUUAUCGUAAUCAGUUAAAACUUUCAACAACGGAUCUCUUGGUUCCGGCAUCGAUGAAGAACGCAGCGAAAUGCGAUAAGUAAUGUGAAUUGCAGAAUUCAGUGAAUCAUCGAGUCUUUGAACGCACAUUGCGCCCCCUGGUAUUCCGGGGGGCAUGCCUGUCCGAGCGUCAUUGCUGCCCUCAAGCACGGCUUGUGUGUUGGGCCCCCGUCCCCCUCUCCCGGGGGACGGGCCCGAAAGGCAGCGGCGGCACCGCGUCCGGUCCUCGAGCGUAUGGGGCUUUGUCACCUGCUCUGUAGGCCCGGCCGGCGCCAGCCGACACCCAACUUUAUUUUUCUAAGGUUGACCUCGGAUCAGGUAGGGAUACCCGCUGAACUUAAGCAUAUCAAA
rnacentral:rRNA from 1 species